CCUACGGGAGGCAGCAGUAGGGAAUAUUGCUCAAUGGGGGAAACCCUGAAGCAGCAACGCCGCGUGGAGGAUGAAGGUUUUCGGAUUGUAAACUCCUUUUGUUAGAGAAGAUAAUGACGGUAUCUAACGAAUAAGCACCGGCUAACUCCGUGCCAGCAGCCGCGGUAAUACGGCGGGUGCAAGCGUUACUCGGAAUCACUGGGCGUAAAGGGCGCGUAGGCGGGAUAGCAAGUCAGAUGUGAAAUCCUAUGGCUUAACCAUAGAACUGCAUUUGAAACUGUUAUUCUAGAGUAUGGGAGAGGUAGGUGGAAUUCGUGGUGUAGGGGUAAAAUCCGUAGAGAUCAAGAAGAAUACUCAUUGCGAAGGCGACCUGCUAGAACAUAACUGACGCUGAUGCGCGAAAGCGUGGGGAGCAAACAGGAUUAGAUACCCGAGUAGUC
rnacentral:rRNA from 1 species